rnacentral:rRNA from 1 species
GACGAACGCUGGCGGCGUGCUUAACACAUGCAAGUCGAACGGAAAGGCCCUGCUUUUGUGGGGUGCUCGAGUGGCGAACGGGUGAGUAACACGUGAGUAACCUGCCCUUGACUUUGGGAUAACUUCAGGAAACUGGGGCUAAUACCGGAUAGGAGCUCCUGCUGCAUGGUGGGGGUUGGAAAGUUUCGGCGGUUGGGGAUGGACUCGCGGCUUAUCAGCUUGUUGGUGGGGUAGUGGCUUACCAAGGCUUUGACGGGUAGCCGGCCUGAGAGGGUGACCGGCCACAGUGGGACUGAGAUACGGCCCAGACUCCUACGGGAGGCAGCAGUGGGGAAUAUUGCACGAUGGGCGGAAGCCUGAUGCAGCAACGCCGCGUGCGGGAUGAAGGCCUUCGGGUUGUAAACCGCUUUCGCCUGUGACGAAGCGUGAGUGACGGUAAUGGGUAAAGAAGCACCGGCUAACUACGUG